CAGUCGCCGCGGGAAUACGAAGGGGGCUAGCGUUGUUCGGAUUUACUGGGCGUAAAGGGCGCGUAGGCGGCGUAUCAAGUCAGGCGUGAAAGCCCCGGGCUCAACCUGGGAAUAGCACUUGGGACUGGUAUGCUAGAGUUCGGGAGAGGUAAGUGGAAUUCCCAGUGUAGAGGUGAAAUUCGUAGAUAUUGGGAAGAACACCAGUGGCGAAGGCGGCUUACUGGACCGACACUGACGCUGAGGCGCGAAAGCGUGGGGAGCAAACAGGAUUAGAUACCCCAGUAGUCCCUGUCUCUUAUAC
rnacentral:rRNA from 1 species